rnacentral:rRNA from 1 species
AUGGAUCAGGCCGCCUCCUACUCCACCACCACCACGCCCCUGCUGCUGAUCCUCGGCUCCCUCACGCUCGCGGUCUCGCUGUUCGUGCUGAUUGGUCGCAGCAGCCAUGGACGCGGGAAGGCGGGGCUCCCGCCCGGCCCGCCGGCGCUGCUCUUCCUCGCCAAGUUCGUCGCGCUCCGCCGGUCCAUAUUCGACCUGGGCCCGCUGCUCGUCGACCUUCACGCGCGCCACGGCCCCGUCAUCUCCGUGCGCCUCUUCCGCACGCUCGUCUUCGUCGCCGACCGCAAGCUGGCCCACCGCGCGCUCGUCCAGGGCGGCGCCACCUUCGCCGACAGGCCGCCGCCGGUCGACCCUGUCCGCAUGUUCACUUCCGGGGGACGUGACAUCAGCUCCUCCUCCUACGGGCCGUACUGGCGCCUCCUCCGCCGGAACCUCGCCGGGGAGGCGCUCAGCCCUGCCCGUGUUGGUCUCUUCGCGCCGGCGAGGAGGUGGGCGUGCGACGGCCUCGUCUCCAGCCUCCUCAGCGAGCAGCAAUCGCAGCGCCAGGACGCCGUGACGCUCAGGCCGCUCCUGCGCCGGGCCAUGUUCGAGCUGCUCGUGUACAUGUGCUUCGGCGCACGGCUCGGACGGGAAACGCUCGACGAGGUGGAGGAGCUGCAGCACCAGGCGCUACUCUCGGUCACCACAUUCCCGGUCUUCGCCUUCUUCCCGGCGGUCACUAAGAGACUCUUCGGCAGACGCUGGGCGGCGUGCCUCGCUGUGCGCAGGAGGCAGGACGAGGUAUUCGUCCCGCUCAUCCACGCGAAGCGCGGCGACGGUGACCCGCCGUGCUACGCCGACUCCCUCCUCGCCGUCCGCGUGGCCGAUGAGGGCGGCCGCCAGCUCACUGACGCCGAGAUGGCAAUGCCGUACCUGAAGGCCGUCGUGCUCGAGGGCCUUCGGCUGCACCCGCCAGGCCACUUCGUCCUCCCGCACGGCGUGCAGAGCGGCGACGCGGAGAUCGCGGCCUACGCGGUGCCCAAGGGAGCGGAGGUCAACUUCCUGGUAGCGGAGAUUGGCCGCGACGAGACUGUGUGGACGGCGGCGCGGGAGUUCCGUCCGGAGAGGUUCCUGGAGGGCGGCGAGGGGCACGGAGUGGACAUCACGGGGAGCAGGGAGAUCAAGAUGAUGCCUUUCGGCGCAGGGCGCAGGAUGUGCCCGGGGUACACGCUGGGCAUGCACCACGCCGAGUACUUCGUGGCGAGAAUGGUGAGGGAGCUGGAGUGGCGGCCGGCAGCGGAGGGGGCGAAGGUGGACAUGGCGGAGACGCUCGAUUUCACCACCGUGAUGAAGCACCCGCUCCGUGCGCUCAUCGUCUCCAGAAGCUAA